GUCUCUCUCUCUCGCUCUC
rnacentral:snRNA from 1 species